GACGUAGGGCGCGAGCGUUGUCCGGAAUUAUUGGGCGUAAAGAGCUCGUAGGCGGCUUGUUGCGUCGACUGUGAAAACCCGCGGCUCAACCGUGUGGCUUGCAGUCGAUACGGGCAGGCUAGAGUUCGGUAGGGGAGACUGGAAUUCCUGGUGUAGCGGUGAAAUGCGCAGAUAUCAGGAGGAACACCGGUGGCGAAGGCGGCUCUCUGGGACGGUACUGACGCUGAGACGCGAAAGCGUGGGGAGCGAACAGG
rnacentral:rRNA from 1 species